rnacentral:rRNA from 1 species
GACGUAGGGCGCGAGCGUUGUCCGGAUUUAUUGGGCGUAAAGAGCUCGUAGGCGGCUUGUCGCGUCGACUGUGAAAUCCCGCGGCUCAACUGCGGGUCUGCAGUCGAUACGGGCAGGCUAGAGUUCGGUAGGGGAGACUGGAAUUCCUGGUGUAGCGGUGAAAUGCGCAGAUAUCAGGAGGAACACCGGUGGCGAAGGCGGCUCACUGGCCCGUAACUGACGCUGAGGUGCGAAAGCGUGGGGAGCAAACAGG